rnacentral:rRNA from 1 species
UAGGGAAUCUUCGGCAAUGGACGGAAGUCUGACCGAGCAACGCCGCGUGAGUGAAGAAGGUUUUCGGAUCGUAAAGCUCUGUUGUAAGAGAAGAACGAGUGUGAGAGUGGAAAGUUCACACAGUGACGGUAACUUACCAGAAAGGGACGGCUAACUACGUGCCAGCAGCCGCGGUAAUACGGAAGGUUCGGGCGUUAUCCGGAUUUAUUGGGUUUAAAGGGAGCGUAGGCCGGAGAUUAAGUGUGUUGUGAAAUGUAGACGCUCAACGUCUGACUUGCAGCGCAUACUGGUUUCCUUGAGUACGCACAACGUUGGCGGAAUUCGUCGUGUAGCGGUGAAAUGCUUAGAUAUGACGAAGAACUCCGAUUGCGAAGGCAGCUGACGGGAGCGCAACUGACGCUGAAGCUCGAAGGUGCGGGUAUCGAACAGGAUUAGAUACCCUGGUAGUCCGCACAGUAAACGAUGGAUGCCCGCUGUUGGUACCUAGUAUCAGCGGCUAAGCGAAAGCAUUAAGCAUCCCACCUGGGGAGUACGCCGGCAACGGUG